GACGAACGCUGGCGGCGUGCCUAAUACAUGCAAGUCGAACGAGCGGCGGACGGGUGAGUAAUGUAUGGGGACUGCCCGAUAGAGGGGGAUAACUACUGGAAACGGUGGCUAAUACCGCAUACUAUCGGAUAACCCAUAUGGGAUUAGCUAGUAGGUGGGGUAAAGGCGCACCUAGGCGCCGAUCCCUAGCUGGGCUGAGAGGAUGAACAGCCACACUGGGACUGAGACACGGUCCAGACCCCUACGGAGGCAUAAGUGGGGAAUAUUGCACAAUGGGCGCAAGCCUGAUGCAUCCAUGCCGCGUGUAUUAAGAAGGCCUUAGGGUUGUAAAGUACUUUCAGCGGGGAGGCGUUACCCGCAGAAGAAGCACCGGCUAACUCCGUGCCAGCAGCCGCGGUAAUUC
rnacentral:rRNA from 1 species